rnacentral:rRNA from 1 species
UAGAGUUUGAUCCUGGCUCAGAAUCAACGCUGGCGGCGUGCCUAACACAUGCAAGUCGAACGCGAAAGGGGAGCAAUCCCUGAGUAGAGUGGCAAACGGGUGAGUAACACGUGGGUGACCUGCCUCAGAGUGGGGGAUAACGUCCCGAAAGGGACGCUAAUACCGCAUAACAUCCUGCCUUUGGAAAGGCGGAGAUCAAAGCCGGGGAUCGCAAGACCUGGCGCUUGGAGAGGGGCCCGCGUCUGAUUAGCUAGUUGGUAGGGUAAUGGCCUACCAAGGCGACGAUCAGUAUCCGGCCUGAGAGGGCGGACGGACACACUGGGACUGAGACACGGCCCAGACUCCUACGGGAGGCAGCAGUGGGGAAUUGUUCGCAAUGGGCGCAAGCCUGACGACGCAACGCCGCGUGGAGGAUGAAGAUCUUCGGGUCGUAAACUCCUGUCGAGCGGGACGAACACUUAUCCGGAUAACACCUGGAUAGGCUGACGGUACCGCUAAAGGAAGCCCCGGCUAACUCCGUGCCAGCAGCCGCGGUAAUACGGGGGGGGCAAGCGUUGUUCGGAAUUACUGGGCGUAAAGGGCUCGUAGGCGGCCAACUAAGUCAGACGUGAAAUCCCCAGGCUCAACCUGGGAACUGCGUCUGAUACUGGAUGGCUUGAAUCCGGGAGAGGGAUGCAGAAUUCCAGGUGUAGCGGUGAAAUGCGUAGAUAUCUGGAGGAAUACCGGUGGCGAAGGCGGCAUCCUGGACCGGCAUUGACGCUGAGGAGCGAAAGCCAGGGGAGCAAACGGGAUUAGAUACCCCGGUAGUCCUGGCCCUAAACGAUGAAUGCUUGGUGUAACGGGUAUCGAUCCCUGUUGUGCCGAAGCUAACGCAUUAAGCAUUCCGCCU